rnacentral:rRNA from 1 species
ACGCUCGACACCUACGGGAGGCAGCAGGUCGGGAAUAUUGCGCAAGUGGAGGAAACUCUGACGCAGUGACGCCGCGUGCAGGAAGAAGGUUUUCGGAUUGUAAACUGCUUUAGACAGGGAAGAAAGAAAUGACAGUACCUGUAGAAUAAGCUCCGGCUAACUACGUGCCACAGCCGCGGUAAUCUGAGCGGCUGGCAAGGC